rnacentral:rRNA from 1 species
AUCAUGGCUCAGAACGAACGCUGGCGGUGUGCCUAACACAUGCAAGUCGAACGGUCACUUCGGUGAUAGUGGCGGACGGGUGAGUAAUACGUAGAUAAUCUGCCCUAAAGUGGGGGAUAACUAAUCGAAAGAUUAGCUAAUACCGCAUAAAGUGGAUGGCUGGGAUGCUAUCCAAUAAAGGAGUAAUCCGCUUAUGGAGGAGUCUAUGGCUGAUUAGCUAGUUGGUGGGGUAAAGGCUUACCAAGGCGAUGAUCGGUAGCUGGUCUGAGAGGACGAUCAGCCACACUGGGACUGAGACACGGCCCAGACUUCUACGGAAGGCAGCAGUGGGGAAUUUUCCGCAAUGGGCGAAAGCCUGACGGAGCGACACCGCGUGGAGGAUGAAGUUUU